rnacentral:lncRNA from 10 species
CCUUUCUGCCCUCUGCCAUGUGAGGUCACAGUGUUCCUCCCUCCUGAGGAUGCAGUGUUCAUGAAAGCAAACACUGGGCCCUCACCAGGCAACAAACCUGCUGGUGCCUUCAUCUUGGACUUCCCAGCCUUCGGAACUAUGGAGCCCGCACUCUCCAGUUCAUCACCACCCCAGCAUCCCUACUCUUGCAUCUAACAGUUUCCGCUAUUUUGCACCACCUGCCUGGCCCUUAUGGGCAACUCAAGGAAGAAAGGAAAGAAGAGAUAGAGGAAAAAUGGAUUCAACAAAUGAAAGUGUUCUUUCUGACUACUGCUGUGUUUACAAACAUUUUAAUCAUCAAAACAUGCUUUAUUUGAUAGAAAGAUCAAAUCUGCCUUUGUAAAACAAGAGACUAUUUUAAUCAUUAAGACAACACACAUGUUUGAUUUGGAGGUUAAGAAGCUCCACUGCGCUUUGUCCAUUGCAAGUUGAGAAGUGAGGCCCCAGCUGUCACAUACAGCUCCAUCACAAGAGGGAGCCCCAUUGCUAGUCCCCAUCCUCAAAGCCUCUGCGUGAUGUUGUCUACUGUUACUCUUCACUACCCUGUGGGAGCCAAAGCCCUGGACAUAAGAACAGAAGGCAGUGGUGGCUGAGAGGAAGAACUGACACCUUUGUGCUAUCAGAGCACUUUGCAGAGGAGCUGUUAGUGGCCCUGUAGGAGUCUGCUGGCCAUACAUCUGGGUGUCAAAUCAAGAGAGCAUGAGAAGUUGGACAGGAAAGGUCCAAGGCAAAAUGGUUACUAAAGGCCAUCCCUGAUCCUGACCCUAAAAGAAGAAAAGGCCCUUUGCUCUUGGCAUGCUUUUGCAGGAGUGUCUCAGUCUGUUUGGGCUGCUAUAACAUUGACUGGGUGAUCUGCCUGCCUGGCCUCCCAAAGUGCUGGGGUUACAGGUGUGAGCCGCUGCACCAGGCCUUGAGGUCAGGAGUUCGAGACCAGCCUGGCCAACAUGGUGAAACCUGUCUUUACUAAAAAUACAGAAAUUAGCCAGGCAUGGAGGCGCAUGCCUGUAAUCCCAGCUACUGGGGAGGCUGAGGCAGGAGAAUCGCUUGAACCCAGAAGGUGGAGGUUGCGGUGAGCCCAGAUAGUGCCAUUGCACUCUAGCCUGGCCAACAAGAGUGAAACUCUGUCUCAAAAAAUAAAUAAACAAACAAACAAACAACAAC